GCGAGGGAGACAGACGGGCCGCACGCAGACACUGCGGCUGCCGGCAACUUUUCCUCUCUUUUAUUUUUCUUUUAUUUUCCUUUUAGAUUCGAAACUAAACUGAUCCCAACACCCAAAUUGAUCGUUAUCCUGCCUCCUCGCAACCGAAGGAGGCGAGGUCACACUCCUGAGGCUGUGUCCGGAGCGAGAAACGCAGAUUGAAGAUCCCGUUCUCCCGGAGCGGAGAUCCGACUCCCUUUUGACCGUCGCUUCAAAUUUUUAAUCCGAUCGAAUCGAGAUUCGUUCUAAACUUUUUCGAGACGCCACGAAAUUCCGUGACUAUUCGCGAUCCGUUUUGAUUUGAACAUUUAUUUGCGGUUUGGAUUAUUUUCAUUUUUGUUAAGGACAGAGCGCCCCCACCCAACUUUUUUCUCUUUACUACCCCCCGCUCCCCCCCUCAGCAAGCUGGCAUUGCCGUGUCCCGUCCCGUCCGAAUCUGAUGAGAGGGGUCAGUACCAGGUCGCAGAAAGGGGGGAAGUCGUAACAAAGUUAAGUUUGCGUUUUCCGCAAUUUACCCUGAUUCGCCAAGUUUAAUUAACGGUUCUGGACAUGGGUAUCAUUAAACCGGAUUGAGUGUCUGAAGAAAAAAUCCCAACAAAAGAAAAAGUGGCUGUCCUCCAUUUCUGAGAAGGUCUUUUGUCAUCACAAAGCUCUUCUUGCCAACACCCCCCUGAACAAAAUGGCCUCCGCCUCCGUGAAGGUGGCAGUGAGGGUGCGGCCCUUCAACUCCCGGGAGACCGCCCGUGAUGCCAAGUGUGUCAUUCAGAUGCAGGGCAGCUCCACCUGCAUCUCCAACCCCAAACAGCCCAAAGAUGCACCCAAGAACUUCACAUUCGACUACUCCUACUGGUCGCACACCACGCCCGAGGACCCGGCCUUCGUCUCCCAGAAGCAGGUAUACCUGGACAUUGGGGAAGAGAUGCUGCUGCACGCCUUCGAGGGCUAUAACGUCUGCAUCUUCGCCUACGGACAGACCGGCGCCGGCAAGUCCUACACCAUGAUGGGCAAACAGGAGCCUGGCCAGCAGGGCAUCAUCCCACAGCUCUGCGAGGACUUAUUCAAGCGCACAGUGGACAACGCCAGCCCAGACCUGUCUUUCUCUGUGGAGGUGUCCUACAUGGAGAUCUACUGUGAGCGUGUGCGCGACCUGCUCAACCCCAAGAGCAAGGGCUCGCUGCGGGUCCGCGAGCACCCCAUCAUGGGCCCCUACGUGGAGGACCUGUCCAAGCUGGCCGUCACCUCCUACAGCGACAUCGCCGACCUCAUGGACUGCGGCAACAAGGCCAGGACGGUGGCUGCGACCAACAUGAAUGAGACCAGCAGCCGCUCCCACGCCGUCUUCACCAUCGUCUUCACACAGCGCCGGCACGACCAGAUGACCAGCCUGGACACAGAGAAGGUCAGUAAGAUCAGCCUCGUGGACCUGGCUGGAAGCGAGAGGGCUGACUCCUCAGGGGCAAAGGGCAUGAGGUUAAAGGAAGGAGCCAACAUAAACAAGUCCCUGACCACGCUUGGGAAGGUCAUUUCGGCACUGGCAGAAAUGCAAAGCAGCAAGAAGAAGAAGUCUGACUUCAUCCCAUACAGAGACUCCGUGCUGACCUGGCUCCUGAAGGAGAACCUGGGUGGAAACUCUCGCACUGCCAUGAUCGCCGCCCUCAGCCCAGCAGACAUCAACUAUGAGGAGACGAUGAGCACGCUGAGGUACGCUGACAGAGCGAAGCAGAUCCGCUGCAAUGCUGUGAUCAAUGAGGAUCCAAACGCCCGUCUGAUCCGCGAGCUGAAGGAGGAGGUGAACCGCCUGAGAGAGCUGCUGUUCUCCCAGGGCCUGAGCUCCGAGCUCAUCACCGCCGCAGGCUACGAGGUGAACAAUAACAACCGUGGGCCGGCUGCGGGGCUCACUGCCCCUCCCCCAGGUGCUGGGACAGCUGGGAGCGGAGCCCCGUCCUCCCAGCAGCUCUCUGCCCUCGGGUCCGACCACACCCCCGACGGCGACCCCAACGGCACCGACCUGCCCCUCGGCCACCCGGACGAGUUCACCGGUCAGGAGGAGCCGAUCAGCAAGGAGGAGGCGGUGGAGCGGUUGAAGGAAACGGAGAAGAUCAUCGCCGAGCUCAACGAGACCUGGGAGGAGAAGCUGCGCAAGACCGAGUCCAUGCGGCUGGAGAGAGAGUCCCUGCUGGCAGAGAUGGGUGUGUCCAUACGAGAGGAUGGUGGCACGGUCGGCGUCUUCUCUCCCAAGGGGACGCCCCACCUGGUGAACCUGAAUGAGGACCCACUGAUGUCCGAAUGCCUGCUCUACUACAUAAAGGAGGGGGUGACCAGGGUGGGACAGAAGGACGUGGACAUUCGCCUGAGUGGCCAGUUCAUCAAGGAGCAGCACUGCGUCUUCUACAGCAAGGUCAACGACAACGGGGAAGUGGAUGUUACAUUGGAGCCCCUGGAAGGUGCAGAGACCUAUGUGAACGGCAAGCAAAUCACAGAGCCCAUGGUGCUCAAGCAAGGUAACCGCAUCGUGAUGGGGAAGAACCACGUGUUCCGGUUCAACCAUCCGGAGCAGGCCAGGCUGGAGCGGGAGCGCAGUGCCUGCGUAGACCAGCAGGGGGAGCCGGUGGACUGGAACUACGCACAGAAGGAGCUGCUGGAGAAACAGGGUAUCGACAUCAAACUGGAGAUGGAGAAGAGGUUGCAGGACAUGGAGACUCAGUACCGCAAAGAGAAAGAGGAGGCUGACCUGCUGUUGGAGCAACAGAGACUGUAUGCGGACUCGGACAGCGGAGACGACUCAGACAAGCGCUCAUGUGAAGAGAGCUGGAGGCUGAUCUCCUCCCUGAGAGAGAAGCUGCCAGCCAACAAGGUGCAGUGCAUUGUGAAGCGCUGCGGCCUGCCCAGCAGCGGCAAAAAGCGCGAGCCUCUGCGGGUCUACCAGAUCCCCCAGCGCCGGCGCAUCAGCAAGGACCCCAAGCGCGUCACACUGGCCGACCUCAAGAUGCAGGCUGUCAAGGAGAUCUGCUACGAGGUGGCGCUGGGCGACUUCCGCCACUCGCGGCAGGAGAUCGAGGCGCUGGCCAUCGUCAAGAUGAAGGAGCUGUGCCGCAUGUACGCCAAGCGCGACCCGCAGGAGCGGGAGACCUGGCGCAGCGUGGCGCAGGACGUGUGGGACACCGUGGGCAUCGGCGAGGAGCGCAGCCCCGGGGAGGAGGGGGGCGGCGGCGGGGGCGGCGAGGGCGAGGGCGGCAAGGCCGGCGUCUACGACCUGAAGGCCCACAUCGACAAGCUGACCGACAUCCUGGAGGAGGUGAAGCUGCAGAACAACAUGAAGGACGAAGAGAUCCGCGCGCUGCGCGACCGCAUGGUCAAGAUGGAGAGCAUUAUCCCCGGGGUCGGACCGCAGGACGAUGGCUCCCUGGAGGACCCGGCGGGAGACGAGGGCGAGGCGGGCGGGUAUAAGGGCGCGGGGGAGGGGGAGGAGGGCCAAGGCUCGAUGGAGGACCUGCCGAAGGAGGUGCGCGUGACACGGCUGAUGGAGGAGGACCCGGCCUUCCGCAGGGGCCGGCUGCGCUGGCUGCGGCAGGAGCAGACGCGUCUGCAGAACCUGCAGCAGCAGCAGAUCACCAAGCGGCUGCGGCGGAGUGGGGGCGGGACCGGGGGCGAGGGCGGCCCCCACCUGCCGGGCACCGGCCGCUUCAUCCCGCCGCAGGACUGCAAGCUCAAGUUCCCCUUCAAGAGCAACCCCCAGCACCGCUACUCCUGGGGGCCCGCCACUGCGUUCAUGCUGGGGCUGGGACAGGGCGAGGAGGGCCAGGCCGAGAAGGGGGGAGGAGGAGCGGGAGGAGGAGGAGGUGGGGGAGCGGCAGAGCAACAGCAAGGGGAGGGGGACCCGCAGGGCGUAGCCGGGGGGAAGAACACGCCCUCCCCCCCUCCGUCUGCCCCCACCCCCAGCAUGGGGCCCUCCGUACCCCUGCUGCCCCUCCCCUUUCCCAUGCCCAUGCAUGUGCCCAUAAUCAUGGGGCCGGGCGGCGGCGGCAACGCCCGCAUGCGCACGCCCAGCCCACACCGGGCCUGGCAGCAGCGCAACCACGGCAACAACAACCACGGCAACCACUUCCCUCAGCAGCAGCAAGCGAGGCGGUACAGGAGGAACUCCCUGGACAGCUCCACCGGCCCCAACAGCAACAACAGCCAGGCUAACCACGGCAGCCCCAAUAACUCCCCAAACAGCUCUAACCACCAGGGCCGGCCCCGCUACCGCCGGCAGUCGCCCAACCCCGGGCCCGAGCACGACGGCCACCUCCAGCCCCGGGACGGGGCGUACCCCAACCAGCGCAAGCCCGGCCACCACCAACACCACCACCACCCCUACUACAACCAGCAGCAGCAGUACCACCCCCGAGGAGGAGGGGGGCGCUACCCGCCCGAGGGGGACCUGCCCGCCCACUGGCAGCAGGAUCGGCCCGCUGGGGGCUGGGGCGGGAGCGGGGGCCCCAACCCCAAAUUCCAGGGCUACACCACCCCUCCCAGGAUGCGCCGGCAGUUCAGCGCGCCCGACCUGAAGAGCAGGGAGACGCCCGUCUGAGGGGGGGAGGGGGGCGGGGACGGCCACACUGCGCCCCUCCAAUCCCACACCUCGCCUCGAGCGCAACCCCCUUCUGUCUGGGGAGGGCACUGGUGCCCUGGCUGUAUGUCCAUGCACAGGCAACUUUCUUCUCCAUUCCUGCGUUACUCUGAGCUUGUCCCCUUGGUGGGUGCCUGGACUGUCAGUAUGGAACCAGCAAACCCCACCUUCUUCCUGCCUAAACUGAACUAGACCUCAUGUCCUGAACUCGACCUCACGUGGGCGAAAACACCCCCCCCUUGCAAACUGGUCUCCUUCUCUCUUGUGUUUUUUUGUUUUUUUUUUUUUUUUUAGUUGGCCUUUCAUUUAUUUGUUGUUUUUUUUCUUGAUUGGGAAAGACUGGGAAAAGCACGACUGUAUAAGGUGAU